CUUGGUGGUUCCAAACUUCUUCCAUUUAAGAAUGAUGGAGACCACUGUAGUCUUGGGGACAGUCAAUGCUGUCCCCAAGACAGCAUUGACUGAAUUUACCACAGGUGGACUCCAAUCAAGUUGUAGAAACAUCUCAAGGAUGAUCAAUGGAAACAGGAUACACCUGAGCUCAACUUUGAGUCUUAUAGCAAAGGCUCUGAAUACUUAUGUAUAUAUAGUUUUUCUGUGUUUUUAUUUUUAAUACAUUUGCAAAAAUGUCUAACGACCUGUUUUCGCUUUGUCAUAUGGGGUAUUGUGUGUAGAUUGUUAAGGAAAAUGUUUCAUUUAAUCCAUUUUAAAAUAAGGCUGUAACGUAACAAAAUGUUUAAAAAGUCAAGGGGUCUGAAUAAUUUCCGAAUGCACUGUAGAUACAACAAUAGUCCAAGGCAGGAGUUGGCAGGAAAUGUCUCUACAUCCACGUUGAGGCCUGCUACAGGCAGGAACAUGGAGCACUCCAUGUCAGUGUCAAGGGAAUAUUCCAGAGCCUUCUUACCAACUAUCGGAGAUCUCUCCAGGACAGAUAAGUGAGUCUACUGGGCCAUGGAACUCUAGAGCAGCACAUUCAAAACAACUGCCCCCCUGUUACCACCUAUCAGCAGACAGGUCCCUGAGGAAGGAUGCAACUCUCAAGGACAAUGGACAAAUUUGGUGGAUGAUCACCAAACGGAAUAAAGUUUUGUAUAAACUACUCAUGUUUGUUUUUUAAAAGUUAUUGCGAAACAGUACAUUUUUCAUAGCCUGUUUUUCAAAUUCUUACUAACUACUACGCUAACUUAAACAUCAAACAACAUGCAGACUUUCUCCAUCAAGAAAACACCUGGUGCUUAUGACUCCAAAAGGUCUAAAAUUUUGUCAUCUGAUUUCCAGGAGCCUGACAGAGAUACGGGCCUUCGGAAGGUAUUCAGACCCCUUGACUUUUUCCACAUUUUGUUACUUAUUCUAAAAUUGAUUAAAUAGAUUUUUUCCCCUCAUCAAUCUACACACAAUACCCCAUAAAGACAAAGCCAAACAGAUUUUUUCAUCACUAAAGCCGUGUUAGCAUUUACUGCACAUAUUGCUAAACAAUCCAACCAUUUUGUUAUUGAUAUAAAUGGGCAAUUCACAUACAAUAAAGUGCAUGAGCAUUGACUGUAAUAGCUCUAGGCUCCUGUGGUUGUCUGGCAGCAUUCUGCUUUCUAGUGAUCUUACUCCCUCUCCACCUGAAAUGCAAUAACAACAAAAAGAAUAACAAUAAGCCUAGUCAGUCAGUAAUUUGUCUAACUUGGCUAAAUUAAAAGCACUGAUGUAAAUGUGCACAAGUCUACUCAACCAAAUUAUACAAAAACAAUACGGCCUAUUUGCAGGAGGGACAUAUUCCAGUCACCAAUUAAUCAAUAAACAGGCAGUGGAACGAAGUUUUCAAAAGUCAAUAACAAGUCUUUAAAAUAUAGCUAGCAAAUAUGUAUAUAUAUAUAUUUUUUUUUCUAGAAACCUAACAUUAUUAGCUACAUUGAUGAUGUUUGGAAUUUUUCCCAUAGCAGUUUCAAUUUAACUUAGCUAACGUUAGCUAGCUACAUGUUGACAGCUAUAUAAUUAAAUCAAAUUAAAAUAAAAUGUUAUUUGUCACAUACACAUGGUUAGCAGAUGUUAAUGCGAGUGUAGUGAAAUGCUUGUGCUUCUAGUUCCGACAAUGCAGUAAUAACCAACGAGUAAUCUAACCUAACAAUUUCACAACAGCUACCUUAUACACACAAGUGUAAAGGGAUGAAGAAUAUGUACAUAAAGAUAUAUGAAUGAGUGAUGGUACAGAAUGGCAUAGGCAAGAUGCAUUAGAUGGUUUCGAGUACAGUAUAUACAAAUGAGAUGCGUAAUGUAGGGUAUGUAAACAAUGUUUUAAAGUGCCAUUGUUUAAAGUGGCUAGUGAAACAUUUUUUACAUGUAUGGCAGCAGCCACUCAAUGUUAGUGAUGGCUGUUUAACAGUCUGAUGGCCUUGAGAUAGAAGCUGUUUUUCAGUCUCUCGGUCCCUGCUUUGAUGCACCUGUACUGACCUCGCCUUCUGGAUGAUAGCGGGGUGAACAGGCAGUGGCUCGGGUGUUGUUGUCCUUGAUGAUCUUUUUGGCCUUCCUGUGACAUCGGGUGGUGUAGGUGUCCUGGAGGGCACAUAGUUUGCCCCCGGUGAUGCGUUGUGCAGACCUCACUACCCUCUGGAGAGCCUUACGGUUGUGGGCGGAGCAGUUGCCGUACCAGGCGGUGAUACAGCCCGACAGGAUGCUCUCGAUUGUGCAUCUGUAAAAGUUUGUGAGUGCUUUUGGUGAGAAGCCGAAUUUCUUCAGCCUCCUGAGGUUGAAGUGGCGCUGCUGCGCCUUCUUCACAACGCUGUCUGUGUGGGUGGACCAAUUCAGUUUGUCCGUGAUGUGAACGCCGAGGAACUUAAAGCGUUUUACCCUCCACUACUGUCCCUUUGAUGUGGAUAGGGGGGUGCUCCCUCUGCUGUUACCUGAAGUCCACGAUCAUCUCCUUUGUUUUGUUGACGUUGAGUGUGAGGCUAUUUUCCUGACACCACACUCCGAGGGCCCUCACCUCCUCCCUGUAGAACGUCUCGUCAUUGUUGGUAAUCAAGCCUACCACUGUAGUGUCGUCUGCAAACUUGAUGAUUGAGUUGGAGGCGUGCAUGGCCACGCAGUCGUGGGUGAACAGGGAGUACAGGGGAGGGCUGAGAAUGCACCUUUGUGGGGCCCCAGUGUUGAGGAUCAGCGGGGUGGAGAUGUUGUUACCUACCCUCACCACCUGGGGGCGGCCCAUCAGGAAGUCCAGUACCCAGUUGCACAGGGCGGGGUCGAGACCCAGGGUCUCGAGCUUGAUGACAAUAAGCAAUAAGGCCAGAGGGGGUGUGGUAUAUGGACAAAAUACCACGGCUAAGGGAUGUUCUUAAGCACUACACAAGGCAGAGUGCUAGGACACAGCCCUUAGCUGUGGUAUAUUGGCCAUACAUCACAAACCCCCGAGGUGCCUUAUUGCUAUUAUAAACUGGUUACCAAUGUAAUUAUAACAGUAAAAAUAAAUGUUUUGUCAUACCCAUGGUAUACCAUGGCUUUCAGCCAAUCAGCAUUCAGGGCUCAAACCACCCAGUUUAUAAUCUCAGUGCAAGAGGCGUCACUGGUUCGAUUCCGGGCUGUAUCACAUCCAGCCGUGAUUGGGAGUCCCAUAGGGCGGUGCACAAUUGGCCCAGCGUAGGCCGGGGUAGGCCGUCAUUGUAAAUAACUUGCUUUCCUAGUUAAAUAAAGGUUAAAAUAAAAUAUGAAAAUAUAUAAUGGUAUUCAUAUCAACUUUAUCAAUCAGAUAGUUAACUAGCAAAUGUAUUUGUUUCCCCCUAGCAUCUAAAGCUGCCUGAUAAAUCUAAUGUUAGCCAGUUGAUAGUAAAGCUAGGAUGAAUUUCAGAAGCCAGCUAGCUAAAGUGAACUUAGCUGCAGUCAAUAGAUUUCCUCUGAAAUGUACCACUUAUAUUUCACAUGAUAAACAAAUUACUGUCAUGCCUUUUCACAAAACAUGUAUGUACACAUAAUAAAGUGAUGAUUACCUUCAAGUAGACUGUUUUAUUCUAGUACUUUCGGCCGAGUAACAUUAAUAAUGUUACUUUGUAAAAAUGACUUCUCCUCUUCAAGCUAUUUCCUGAGAUUUGAUUGAUGGAACAAUCCAUCCAAUGGUUGCAGCAAUUAGGCGGCUGUGGUUUUGACGGAUUGGUCAGGAGUAAAAAUGGUCCUGCCCCUAUUGCUGCUCAAAUCAGUAUUCAUUACUUGCGAAUCUCUUUCUACAAAUGUACAAAACGUUCUACAAUCUUACAAAUCUCUUGGUAGUGUGACAACAGUGACAGAACCCAAGCGUGGACUUAUAAAAUAAAUUAUGCUUGCAAAUCUUUUUGAAUGUAUUCAAAUGUGAAGUUACAAGUUUGCGACCGUUGUACAAGUUUCCAAAUCUGACUUCCAACCACGAAUCUCAAUGUGAGACAACGAAACUCAAAAUACAAACUGGUUCUGUCAUCAUUAUUAUCCAGGAGUCCAGGUGGAAUCAGGCACCUGUCAGACAAGACAUGGAGAGGGAACAGAUUGGAAAUGUGAUUGUAUCUUACAUUCUUUUGACAAUGGAACCCUCUAUAAAGCUGUUGAAUUCUGU